rnacentral:piRNA from 1 species
UCCGGAAUGAGGCAUCUUCCUUGCGCC